UACGAAGGGGGCUAGCGUUGCUCGGAAUCACUGGGCGUAAAGCGCACGUAGGCGGCUUUCUAAGUCAGGGGUGAAAUCCUGGAGCUCAACUCCAGAACUGCCUUUGAUACUGGGAGGCUCGAGUCCGGAAGAGGUGAGUGGAACUGCGAGUGUAGAGGUGAAAUUCGUAGAUAUUCGCAAGAACACCAGUGGCGAAGGCGGCUCACUGGUCCGGUACUGACGCUGAGGUGCGAAAGCGUGGGGAGCAAACAGG
rnacentral:rRNA from 1 species